rnacentral:rRNA from 1 species
CCAGUUCGGACUGCAGGCUGCAACCCGCCUGCACGAAGCCGGAGUUGCUAGUAAUCGCGAAUCAGAAUGUCGCGGUGAAUGCGUUCCCGGGUCUUGUACACACCGCCCGUCACACCAUGGAAGUUGGGGGUGCCCAAAGCCGGCAAGCAAAUAUGCUGUCUAAGGCAAAACCAAUGACUGGGGUGAAGUCGUAACAAGGUAUC